UGCGUAGGCGGAUUAAUAAGUCAGUGGUGAAAACCUGCAGCUUAACUGUAGACCUGCCAUUGAUACUGUUAGUCUUGAGUACGGUCAAGGUAGGCGGAAUGUGUAAUGUAGCGGUGAAAUGCUUAGAUAUUACACAGAACACCGAUUGCGAAGGCAGCUUACUGGACCAUUACUGACGCUGAGGCACGAAAGUGUGGGGAGCGAACAGGAUUAGAUACCCUGGUAGUCC
rnacentral:rRNA from 1 species